AUCCCUUGUGAUAAAGGUACAAUAAUUUCAUCAUAGUUACCUCAAAAAAACAAUCAAAAAGAAACUAUGAUAUAAU
ncrna:unclassified sequences dfrA-dnaX RNA